AUUCAACGCUUGCUGCAUGCCUUACACAUGCACGUCGAACGUUAACAGCUCUACGGAUGCUGACGAGUGGCUAACGGCCGAGUAAUACAUCAUAACGUGCCCGAUCGUGGGGGAUAACGAACCCAAAGCUUUGCUAAUACCGCAUAAUAUCUACUGAUGAAAGCAUUCGACCGCAAUGCCUUGCGCGAACUGAGCGGCCGGUGGCAGAUUAGGUCGUUGCUGGGAUAAAAACUUACCAAGCCGACGAUCUGUAGCUGGUCUGAGAGGAAGACCAGCCAAACUGGGACUGAGACACGGCCCAGACUCCUACGGGAGGCAGCUGUGGGGAAUUUUGUACUAUGGGCGAAAGCCUGAUCCAGCCAUGCCGCGUGAAGGAUGAAGGCCUUCGGGUUGUAAACUGCUUUUGUACGGAACGAAAAGACUCUUUCUAAUAAAGAGGGUCCAUGACGGUACCGUAAGAAUAAGCACCGGCUAACUACGUGCCAGCAGCCGCCGUAAAAC
rnacentral:rRNA from 1 species